rnacentral:rRNA from 1 species
GACGAACGCUGGCGGCGUGCUUAACACAUGCAAGUCGAACGAGUGGCGAACGGGUGAGUAAUACGUGAGUAACCUGCCCUCUUUUUGGGAUAAGCCUUGGAAACGGGGUCUAAUACCGGAUAAAGGGGGAUGGGCUAGCGGCCUAUGAGCGUGUUGGUGGGGUACUGGCCUACCAAGGCGGUGACGGGUAGCCGGCCUGAGAGUGUGAACGGCCACAAUGGGACGGAGAUACGGCCCAGACACCUACGGGAGGGAGAAGUGGGGGAUAUGGCACAAUGGGCGAAAGGCUGAGGCAGCGACGUGGCGUGGGGGAUGAAGGCGUUCGGGUUGUAAACCUCUUUCGCUAGCGAACGGGUAGGUGGAGAAGAAGCGCCGGCUAACUACGUGCCAGCAGCCGCGGUAAUUC